rnacentral:rRNA from 1 species
UACGUAGGGGGCAAGCGUUGUCCGGAAUCAUUGGGCGUAAAGAGCGUGUAGGCGGCCAGAAAAGUCCGCUGUGAAAACUCGAGGCUCAACUCGAGCUGUACGGUGAAACUUUCUGGCUAGAGUCCGGAAGAGGAGAAUGGAAUUCCUGGUGUAGCGGUGAAAUGCGCAGAUAUCAGGAAGAACACCAAUGGCGAAAGCAGCUCUCUGGGACGGUACUGACGCUGAGACGCGAAAGCGUGGGGAGCGAACAGG